GCCGAGGUGGCGGAAUGGUAGACGCGAAGGACUUAAAAUCCUUUAAGGCAAAACCUUGUGCGGGUUCAAGUCCCGCCCUCGGCACCA
rnacentral:tRNA from 1 species